rnacentral:rRNA from 1 species
AUUGAACGCUGGCGGCAUGCCUUACACAUGCAAGUCGAACGGCAGCACGUGAGCUUGCUCCUGGUGGCGAGUGGCGAACGGGUGAGUAAUGCAUCGGAACGUACCCGGAAGGGGGGGAUAACGUAGCGAAAGUUACGCUAAUACCGCAUAUUCUGUGAGCAGGGAAGAGGGGGAUCGCAAGACCUCUCGCUUCCGGAGCGGCGGAUGUCGGAGUAGCUAGUUGGGGGGGUAAAGGCCUACCAAGGCGGCGAUCCGUAGCGGGGCGGAGAGGAGGCACCGCCACACUGGAACUGAGACACGGUCCGGACUCCUACGGGAGGCAGCAGUGGGGAAUUUUGGACAAUGGGCGAAAGCCUGAUCCAGCAAUGCCGAGUGAGUGAUGAAGGCCUUCGGGUUGUAAAGCUCUUUAGGCUGAAAAGAAAUCGCACAGGCUAAUACCCUGUGUGGAUGACGGUAUCAGCAUAAGAAGCACCGGCUAACUACGUGCCAGCCGCCGCGGUAA